rnacentral:lncRNA from 1 species
CCCCACCUCCUGGUAUUCACUUUCUUGUGUGGCUUUUCUCUUAUUCUCUCUCUCACUCUCUUUUAAUCCUCUCUCUCUUUUUUUCUCUCUCAUUAAAAAUUAUUUUCUCUCCCUUACUCUUUCCUCCCCUUUCUCUCUCCCUCUCUCUCUCAUUAAUAAGUCUGGAGGAAGCCAGAUGUGAGGACACUUGGGCAGCUUAUGGAGAGGCCAUGUGGUGAGGAAUGGAGGCCUCGGCCAACAGCCAGUAACCAUGUGAGUGAGCUUUUAAGUGGAUUCCUUAACGCCAGUCAAGGCUAGAGAUGACUAUCGCAUCAGCUCACAGCUUGACUGCCACCUCAUGAGAGACCUUGAGCCAUAAAAGUUCAGGCCAAGAAUGGAAAACAAGGCACUGGGAAGAACAUCAUGAGCAAAGGAAUGAAGAGGAGCUGAAAUGCUAUGUUGUCGUAUUCUGUCUGGAAACAUAGGUACAGGAAGGCAGAACUGCCUCAUAUCUGAGUCAGAAUGCUGGGCUUGAUUUCUCAUGUAACUGAUGAAAAUGUCUUACACAAAAUGAUGACCGUAAGAAACAUCAGAAUACUUGCUUUGCCGGAUGACACCAAGAUAACUAGAAGGUCUUGCAUUAUCAAACAAAGGCAUGCAUCACGUGCAAAGAAUAGAAAACAAGAGAGAUGAAAUGGGCAUCUUUCUGGAAACGUUGUUUGCGAGCCUAGCUUUGAAAUUUACACCUCCAGGUUGAUCCUUCACUUGCCAGUACACAUGUCUGAAACCAAUACUCUAAGAAGAAUACUGAACAGCAUGAAUAUGUCUUCUGGAUUUCCUUCCUUGGCAAUGAGAUGCUAUUCUUGGGAUAGAUCAUCCAGCCUUGAGUUUUUCUGCUAAUCCACUCAGGAGCCAGCCUUUGGGCUCUGAAAUAGAUCUGCUCCUUCUCUAUCAACAAUAUGCACAUACUGUGCACCAAAAGUCUUGGAGCACAGUACGGAGCCUGAGACUUCUUCAGGAGCUACGAAUAAGGGAGUUCUUCCUGUUAAACUCAUUACAUUUACAAAGGCCCACCCGUCGUUUUUCCUAAAAUAAUUUCCUUUUAUGAAUGUAGAGUUGAAAUGUUACACUAACAAUUCCCAUACUUGUUCCAAGAUUUUUCACAGACUUGCCAUACCUAAACAACUUUCUCCUUACAGCUUCAAAGAUAGGACUAAAUAUAUCAUCCCUAUUUAACAAUCUUAAAAUUUGAAAAAUUUUUAAAAGAGGGAAUCGUCUUCCCCUAAUAAGAAGAGGCAUACUGACCAUAAUUCCUCAAUUACUUUUACUUUCUAAUCCAAAUGAACAUAUAGAUGAAAGGUGUUUUUCAAAAUGCAGAGUAGGUGCAAAAUCUUUCAUCAGAGGUGAAGUAUUUGAUAUGUCCUUGGUCAUGAAAGAAAUCCUCAAAAUUAAGAUUUAUUUUUACAUUUCAUCUUUUUAUAGCCAACUGUCCACAUAACCACCAGAAAAAAAUACCAUGAUGGAUUUUUUUUUAAUUUAAUGAAGGUAACUGAUCUUUUUAGAGUUUUUCUGAUAGGCACAGAACCUAUUAAAAUAUGCAUAUUUUAUAUAUAUACAUACCUGUGUGUGUGUGAGCACACGCACGUGUGUGUGCGCCUGUGUGCCUGGGUGUGUAUGUGUGUGGAUACAUCUUCAGCUCAAGUAGCAACAGUGACCUCUAGUGUGUCUUUUAAAUUUUCUCCCUCUACAACUUUAACUCAUUGUUUCUUUAACCUCUAGGGCAUUAUUUAAGCAAAAUGUUACAGUUCAUAUUUGGUCUAAUUUCUGUAUUGACUCUAUAUGCUGACAACUUAUUCUUGAGAAAUCUUCUUUGAUCUUGGUAAUGUAUGAUAAAAUAAUUGUGCCUUCAUUAAUGACUGUAAUUAUAGUACAUAAAGCUGUCAUUUAAAUGAAUAAUCACCCCCCCCCCACCCCUCAAAAAAGGUUGGCUUCAUUUGCAAAAUGAAUUUAACUUCAGCUGAAUAACUCUUUGAGCUAUAAGCCAGGAGCAUCCACAUGCAGUCAUGUAUUGUUUGCAAGAGUGCUCGUUUCUCAUUGAUGAGGUCCCCUCCCCCGUUCUUUUUAACUAAAAUUAAGAGAGAAUCAAAGAAUCCGUCGGGCAAAACAUUUUUUUUCAGUUUUGGGGGUUUUGCCUUAGACGUGUGCUGAUGUCAGGACAGAGUCCACAAGAAUGAAGUGGCCUGGCUCUGGCAGCUUGUGUCAGCACUUUCAUUCCAAGUUCCUCUUUUCAGGAGUUUAUAACAUUGCAAUAAAAUUUAUUAUGGGCUGGGACUUGGCAUACAGGAGCCUGGGCUAACACCGUAAAGUAGUUUGGAGAUUUUUUUCUUUUCUUUUUUUUUUUCCAAGCAAAUGUUCAAAUCUGUUGGGUCCUGUUUCCCUUUUUAGGGAGUUCAAAAUAAAAGCCUGCUCUCAUCUGGUCACAUGGCCUUGGUUUCUCCUGGUUUUGCUUUCCCUGUGGGCUGUUAGAGGAGAACUGAAAAGGGUCCCCUACCUACGCUAUGGUAAACUCUUUUAGGAUGAGUUGGAAACAAACAAACAAAAGUAAUAAAGAAGUAAAUGUUUCCUGUAAAUGAAAAAGGCCCUUAAAAUUGUAGUUGUUGGAAAAGAGCCUCCAGGGUAGGCGAGGGAAACAUGAAAAGGUAUUCAAGACUGUUUUCUAUAAUUGGGUGAUCUUCUAUGCCCCCCAACAGCUGGGCUUGUUGGCAAACAAGAAGCUGUAUGUGGAAAACAUGCUCCAAUCUGUGUAAACGAAGCAAGCCAUGAAAAUUAGCAUCAUCCCCAGGUUAAAAAACAAAAUAAAAC